UCAGAGAUGGGUGUUAUGCCUGAGAUUGCUCAAGCUGUGGAAGAGAUGGAUUGGCUUCUUCCAACUGAUAUCCAGGCUGAAUCUAUCCCACUGAUCCUAGGAGGAGGUGAUGUACUGAUGGCUGCAGAAACAGGAAGUGGAAAAACUGGUGUAAGUA